AUUGAACGCUGGCGGCAUGCCUAACACAUGCAAGUCGAAUGGUAACACGAAACAUUUUGCUGUUUCGCGGAUGAGUGGCGGGCGGGUGAGACAUGUGUGGGAAACCGCCUGAUGGGGGGGGAUAACUACUGGAAACGGUAACUACUACCGCAUAACGCCGCAAGACCAAAGGGGGGGUCCUUCCUGCCUCUUUCCAUCAGAUGUGCGCAGGUGGGAUUAGCUAGUAGGUGGGGUAACGGCUCACCUAGGGGACGAUCCCUAGCUGGUCUGAGAGGAUGACCAGCCACACUGGAACUGAGACACGGUCCAGACUCCUACGGGAGGCAGCAGUGGGGAAUAUUGGACAAUGGGCGAAAGCCUGAUGCAGCCAUGCCGCGUGUAUGAAGAAGGCCUUCGGGUUGUAAAGUACUUUCGGCGGGGAGGAAAGGAGUAAAGUUAAUACCUUUGCGCAUUGACGUUACCCGAAGAAGAAGCACCGGCUAACUACGUG
rnacentral:rRNA from 1 species